rnacentral:rRNA from 1 species
CCUACGGGAGGCUGCAGUGAGGAAUAUUGGUCAAUGGACGAGAGUCUGAACCAGCCAAGUCGCGUGAAGGAUGACUGCCCUAUGGGUUGUAAACUUCUUUUAUAUGGGAAUAAAAUGUUACACGUGUGGGAUUUUGUAUGUACCAUAUGAAUAAGGAUCGGCUAACUCCGUGCCAGCAGCCGCGGUAAUACGGAGGCUCCGAGCGUUAUCCGGAUUUAUUGGGUUUAAAGGGAGCGCAGGUGGAUUGUUAAGUCAGUUGUGAAAGUUUGGGGCUCAACCGGAAAAUUGCAGUUGAAACUGGCAGUCUUGAGUACAGUAGAGGUGGGCGGAAUUCGUGGUGUAGCGGUGAAAUGCUUAGAUAUCACGAAGAACUCCGAUGGCGAAGGCAGUUCACUGGACUGCAACUGACGCUGAGGCUCGAAAGUGUGGGGAUCAAACAGGAUUAGAUACCCCUGUAGUC